rnacentral:rRNA from 1 species
UACGUAGGGGGCUAGCGUUGUCCGGAAUCAUUGGGCGUAAAGCGCGUGUAGGCGGUCCGGUAAGUCCGCUGUGAAAGUCGGGGGCUCAACCCUCGAAUGCCGGUGGAUACUGUCGGGCUAGAGUGCGGAAGAGGCGAGUGGAAUUCCUGGUGUAGCGGUGAAAUGCGCAGAUAUCAGGAGGAACACCAAUUGCGAAGGCAGCUCGCUGGGACGUUACUGACGCUGAGACGCGAAGCGUGGGAGCAAACAGG